AGACAGAUUUUAUGUGAGAGAAAAGUUGGAUGCUCACGCUCCAUGGAGCAUCCUCGCGUUUCCCGGGGAAAAGCGGAUCCCGGAGAAGCAGCCUAAUCUCUCAGCCCUUGUGGAGAAGGGAAUAUCAGAAGCAGGACGAAAGCCAGGUCAAGUCUCUUUCCUUAGGCUCCCCAAAGGGACAAGUACUCACCUCCCAGAGACCUGGCCCAGCGGGUCCUCAUGGCAGCACCACCCCCUCCCGGUGCCCACGACCAUUCGUCUCCCAUCCGGCGUUCUCCAGGAUUUCCAAAGACGCCCGUUUAGAUCCACAGAGCUGGAAGACAGCUGUUCCUGGAUCACACCAGAAUGGAGAAGCAAGCUCCUCCCACUAGCAGAAAGCCUUUGCUUUCUGUGCCUGGAUUCGGAAGAUUAGUUAAGCACUGGAAGAGGAGGGGGGAAACAACAACUCGUUUUUGCUGUAUGUUUUUUUUUUAAUUGUUUUUAUAUUUAUAGAAAGUUAUGCUUUGUCUGAUUCUUGCGCUAAUUUGGGUUCUGAAAUUUGAGUAAAAUCAAAUUUAAACAUACAAAACAACUUUAAAACCACAAGGAACAGGAAGCAAAUGAUUAUACAUAAAAGACAUAUAGAAGAUAAUGCAUAUGUGUUCAGUGGAAAAUAGAAAAGCAUGAAAGUAAGAUCACAAAUAUUUAUUAUUUAAACUCUUCCUUGAACUAUUGGUCUGCCCUUUGGAAAAGCAGACUUUCCUUAAUGCAGUAGCUCAUAUUAAUAUUUUUUGUUUGCUUAGGACCAGAGCAAGAAGGUUGGACUUGGGAGCUAGUUUGCUGUCUGGCUUUGAGACCUUGAACAAGUUUUGUUCUCCUUCUGUUUCCAGUUUUCUUUUUUGUAAAUUAGGAGAUUAACUCAUGUGAUCACUCUAUUUUCAACUUUUUGUUAUGGGAAAUAUUCAAACAUAUGCAAAAGUAGACAGAAUAAAGGACUCUCAUGUGAAGAUCAUCCAACUUUUACAUUUUUUCAAUGCAUGGCUGAUCAUGUCUCAUCCAUAAGUCCACUCACUUUAUCACUACCAAUCCUCCCUCUUUUUUUUUUUUUUUUACCAAAUUCAAGCUUUAUAUAUAUCUUUUCAGCUGUAAACAUUCAGUAUGCAUCCACAAAAUUUAAGGACUGUUUAAAAAUAACCACAAUAUCAUUAGAUGAUUCUUUAAAAUUGCAGUGUAAUUUACACCUAGGGAAAUGCUCAGAUGUUGUGUCCCUUUAAAUCAGUUUUGAAAAAGCCAUGCAUUAGUGUAACCCACACUAUUUUGAAGACACAGGACAUUUUCAUCAUUCCAGACAGUUACCUUGUACCUUCAUGUGCAUAUUCUAGAAUGUCAUAAAGAUCUAAUCACGUAGUAUAAACUUUGUUUUAUAUUUGUCUGACUUCUUUUACUCAGUAUAAUAUUUGUGAGGUUCGUUCAUGUCGUUGCAUGAAUGGGUGUUUUGUUUUUUAUUGCUUUUUGUUGUUUCUUUUUACUACUGUUAAUAGUAUAAGUUUUCCAUUGUGCCUCUUUACAACUAGUAUCUCAAUAGAGUAUUACAACAAUUAUUUAAUAUAUUAUUUCACAUGACAUAUUUAUAGUAUAACCAUGACCUCCUUGAGACCUAGUGCUUUAAGUCAAAGAGGUAAAUAAAAUGAGAUAUUUUAGGUCUCAUUACAACAGACCAAUGUGAGAGAAUUAUUUCUGGACAGUUGCACUUCUUAUAAACGUUUAACAUGAUUCCAAACUUUUAUUUGGUAAUUUGUUAGUCCUUUGGCAAAGGACUAAUGUACUAUGUUAUUUAGUCAUAACAAGCAGAUCAAUUACAUUUUAUGUAACUUUUAUAGACAGAGAAACUGAGCUCCAAGAGUUUUGGUGAUAUGCUGAGAUCACCUAGCUAUUUUAAGUGGCAGAGCUGAGACAAUUUAGCAGAAACUGUUACAGAAGGCACAAUUGUCUCCUGAAUUAGCAGUUUGUGUCUGAAGCCUCACAGAUUGGGUGUGGUAAAGAGUGAGAAGGAAAAAGGUAGAACCCAGCUGUGUUAGAAAUAGCCUUCAAAUUUGGAUGUGACAAUGGAAAUCAAGAAGAACUUAUGUUAUUAUGAAACAGUUCAUUCAUAUUUAAAGUUUUGCCUUUUCUAUAUUGGUAUUCCUCAAUAGGGGGAGAUGAUUUCUUACUACCUACAAAAAAAGAAAACUGUAAACUAAUUUCGUUGUCAUUUUGAAUUACAACUAUAUGUUUAACUCUUGUCACUCCUUAAAAUGCCUUGAACACAGUAAACAUCCAAUGAACUUUUAAUUACACAUAAUAUUGAUAGUGAUAUUGCAUAUGUUCUAGGUCUGUAUUCUUAAGGAGGGAAAGCUGCUCAAGUACAAAGAAGGGAACUAGAAGUUAAAAUAAAGUUUUUUUAAUUUUUCUUUUCAUUAUUGAUGGACAGCAUGGUCUUCAGUAAAUCUUUAGCCUCUCUGAAUAUAACGUUAAACUAAUUGAAUGGCUUGUACCUCAUAAGAAAUAUGAAGUUAUGAAGUAAUAACAUAUUUGGAAGCAUUACUAACAUGCAUAUUCUGUUCAUAACUACAAUAUUCAUGUUUUGUUUUCUCUUUGCUAAGUGAAAUAUAAAUAUUUUACCAGACC
ensembl:lncRNA SNCA-AS1 SNCA antisense RNA 1